rnacentral:rRNA from 1 species
CUGGCGGCGGCUUACACAUGCAAGUCGAGCGGUAACAGGAGAAGCUUGCUUCUCGCUGACGAGCGGCGGACGGGUGAGUAAUACUUAGGAAUCUACCUAGUAGUGGGGGAUAGCACGGGGAAACUCGUAUUAAUACCGCAUACGACCUACGGGAGAAAGGGGGCAGUUUACUGCUCUCGCUAUUAGAUGCGCCUAAGUCGGAUUAGCUAGAUGGUGGGGUAAAGGCCUACCAUGGCGACGAUCUGUAGCUGGUCUGAGAGGAUGAUCAGCCACACCGGGACUGAGACACGGCCCGGACUCCUACGGGAGGCAGCAGUGGGGAAUAUUGGACAAUGGGGGAAACCCUGAUCCAGCCAUGCCGCGUGUGUGAAGAAGGCCUUUUGGUUGUAAAGCACUUUAAGCAGUGAAGAAGGCUCCAUGGUUAAUACCCAUGGACGAUGACAUUAGCUGCAGAAUAAGCACCGGCUAACUCUGUGCCAGCAGCCGCGGUAAU